CGUACCGAGCAGACGCGAAUAAUUUUCCGAAAGGAAUUGUAAUGCGCGAUGAGACCACGAGCUGUACGCAGCGUGAGGUCAAAGGUCGGGGCUCCUUCGGGACCCGGCGCUGUUUGAGCGGACUAACUCUGAUUAGCUAGUUGGCGGGGUAACGGCCCACCAAGGCGAUGAUCAGUAGCCGGGCUGAGAGGCUGUCCGGCCACACGGGCACUGAGAUACUGGCCCG
rnacentral:rRNA from 1 species